rnacentral:rRNA from 1 species
UACGGGGGGGGCAAGCGUUGUUCGGAAUUACUGGGCGUAAAGGGCUCGUAGGCGGCCAACUAAGUCGGAUGUGAAAUCCCCAGGCUUAACCUGGGAACUGCAUCCGAUACUGGAUGGCUUGAAUCCGGGAGAGGGAUGCAGAAUUCCAGGUGUAGCGGUGAAAUGCGUAGAUAUCGUAAGGAAGACCAGUGGCGAAGGCGGAUCUCUGGACAGUUACUGACACUGAGGCACGAAGGCCAGGGGAGCAAACGGG